CCUUGUCCUUCUCUUUGCUCCGCCACAAGAUGUCUCCCUUUCCCCCCUUCUUUUCCGGCUUUUAAGUUUUCAACACCAACCGCCCUGUCCGAGUUAUGACCUCCCCCCCUUAAAGGUGUAUUUACAGCAUCCUUUUUCCCUGUAAUGCACCCAAAGAGGCAGCAACCGCCCACAGAAUAAUAGCAC